rnacentral:rRNA from 1 species
CCUACGGGAGGCAGCAGUGAGGAAUAUUGGUCAAUGGGCGGGAGCCUGAACCAGCCAAGUCGCGUGAGGGAAGACGGUCCUAUGGAUUGUAAACCUCUUUAGGCGGGGAGCAAUGCCGGGCACGCGUGCCCGGAGGGAGAGUACCCGCAGAAUAAGCAUCGGCUAACUCCGUGCCAGCAGCCGCGGUAAUACGGAGGAUGCGAGCGUUAUCCGGAUUUAUUGGGUUUCAAGGGUGCGUAGGCGGAUUUUUAAGUCAGCGGUAAAAUGUCCGGGCUCAACCCGGGCCGGCCGUUGAACAUGGGGAUCGUGAGUGGGCGAGAAGUAUGCGGAAUGCGUGGUGUAGCGGUGAAAUGCAUAGAUAUCACGCAGAACUCCGAUUGCGAAGGCAGCAUACCGGCGCCCGACUGACGCUGAGGCACGAAAGCGUGGGGAUCGAACAGGAUUAGAUACCCGAGUAGUC